UACGAAGGGGGCUAGCGUUGCUCGGAAUCACUGGGCGUAAAGGGUGCGUAGGCGGGUCUUUAAGUCAGGUGUGAAAUCCUGGAGCUCAACUCCAGAACUGCCUUUGAUACUGAAGAUCUAGAGUUCGGGAGAGGUGAGUGGAACUGCGAGUGUAGAGGUGAAAUUCGUAGAUAUUCGCAAGAACACCAGUGGCGAAGGCGGCUCACUGGCCCGAUACUGACGCUGAGGCACGAAAGCGUGGGGAGCAAACAGG
rnacentral:rRNA from 1 species